GACGAACGCUGGCGGCGUGCUUAACACAUGCAAGUCGAACGGAAAGGCCCUGCUUUUGUGGGGUGCUCGAGUGGCGAACGGGUGAGUAACACGUGAGUAACCUGCCCUUGACUUUGGGAUAACUUCAGGAAACUGGGGCUAAUACCGGAUAGGAGCUCCUGCUGCAUGGUGGGGGUUGGAAAGUUUCGGCGGUUGGGGAUGGACUCGCGGCUUAUCAGCUUGUUGGUGGGGUAGUGGCUUACCAAGGCUUUGACGGGUAGCCGGCCUGAGAGGGUGACCGGCCACAUAGGGACUGAGAAACGGCCCAGAGUCCUACGGGAGGCAGCAGUGGGGGAUAUUGCACAAUGGGCGGAAGCCGGGUGCAGCAACGCCGCGUGCGGGAUGACGGCCUUCGGGUUGUAAACCGCUUUCGCCUGUGACGAAGCGUGAGUGACGGUAAUGGGUAAAGAAGCACCGGCUAACUACGUG
rnacentral:rRNA from 1 species